rnacentral:tRNA from 1 species
GCCCUAGUAGCUUAAAACU